rnacentral:rRNA from 1 species
AUUGAACGCUGGCGGCAUGCCUUACACAUGCAAGUCGAACGGCAGCACGGGUGCUUGCCCCUGGUGGCGAGUGGCGAACGGGUGAGUAAUACAUCGGAACAUGUCCUGUAGUGGGGGAUAGCCCGGCGAAAGCCGGAUUAAUACCGCCUACGAUCUACGGAUGAAAGCGGGGGACCUUCGGGCCUCGCGCUAUAGGGUUGGCCGAUGGCUGAUUAGCUAGUUGGUGGGGUAAAGGCCUACCAAGGCGACGAUCAGUAGCUGGUCUGAGAGGACGACCAGCCACACUGGGACUGAGACACGGCCCAGACUCCUACGGGAGGCAGCAGUGGGGAAUUUUGGACAAUGGGCGAAAGCCUGAUCCAGCAAUGCCGCGUGUGUGAAGAAGGCCUUCGGGUUGUAAAGCACUUUUGUCCGGAAAGAAAUCCUUGGCCCUAAUACGGUCGGGGGAUGACGGUACCGGAAGAAUAAGCACCGGCUAACUACGUG